rnacentral:snoRNA from 2 species
AGAGAGUGCCACUUGUCCUGGCCUGCACGCUCUCUGCUCCAAUCUCCCUCAUGGUGUAGGAGGGCCGUCCUGAGUAUAGGGCUGGCUCUUAAAGGCACAAAAGGACAAU